CACAAAAACAUGAGGAAGAACAACAAUCCGGUGGAUCAUGCAAGGAAAGUUCAUCCCAGCUUGUUUCAUUCUCUUUAUCUCAUGCCAACAUUCCUCUACCACCUACCUUAGAGUUGAAGGAUUCUUCAGAAAUGGAUAUGUCUGAUGUUCAACAGAAUCUCAAAUGUUUGUACGAGUACAAUGUCAUGCUGAGGGAGAAAUUUUUAUCUGUGCAAUCUAUGCUUCUUGAGUUAGCAACAAAGUCCUUGCCUCCUGCAAAUGAUGACAUUCCUAACACCUCAAAGUUUUUCAAGCAAUUGAUCUUGCAGGCAAAGGACACCAAGUGAAUUAGAUAGAGAGGUUAAGAACUUGAGGGUGGCAUUUACUGACCUGUUUUUGAAGCAUAACACUUUCAAAGAAACUGCAAAGCCAUCUAGAUAUUGAUGCAAAGAAUGGAAGAAUGUAUUUCACUAAUUUUUGUAUACAUUUCUUGUUUUGUAUUUAGUGAUAAAGGAAUCUGAAUUGGGCAUAAAUUAUGUUGUAAUAUGAUUUCUUAAGCCUAGACUAGUAGACUAAAUAUUGUAAUUACAUUUGAGUAAUUAAUAAAAAUCUAUUUAUGUUA